rnacentral:rRNA from 1 species
CAGCAGCCGCGGUAAUUCGAGGGGUGCAAGCGUUAUUCGGAUUGAUUGGGUGUAAAGGGUGUGCAGACGGCUUAUUAAGUCACUUGUUAAAUUCUUCGGCCUAACUGAAGGUCUGCAAGUGAUACUGAUGAGCUAGAGGGUGGAAGAGAGAAGUGGAAUUCUCGGAGUAGCGGUAAAAUGCGUAGAUCUCGAGAGGAACACCAAUGGCGAAGGCAGCUUCUUGGUCCAUUCCUGACGUUCAUACACGAAAGCGUGGGGAGCAAACAGGAUUAGAUACCCCAGUAGUCCCUGUCUCUUAUAC